UGGGGAAUUUUGGACAAUGGGCGAAAGCCUGAUCCAGCAAUGCCGCGUGUGUGAAGAAGGCCUUCGGGUUGUAAAGCACUUUUGUCCGGAAAGAAAUCCUUGGCUCUAAUACAGUCGGGGGAUGACGGUACCGGAAGAAUAAGCACCGGCUAACUACGUGCCAGCAGCCGCGGUAAUACGUAGGGUGCAAGCGUUAAUCGGAAUUACUGGGCGUAAAGCGUGCGCAGGCGGUUUGCUAAGACCGAUGUGAAAUCCCCGGGCUCAACCUGGGAACUGCAUUGGUGACUGGCAGGCUAGAGUAUGGCAGAGGGGGGUAGAAUUCCACGUGUAGCAGUGAAAUGCGUAGAGAUGUGGAGGAAUACCGAUGGCGAAGGCAGCCCCCUGGGCCAAAUACUGACGCUCAUGCACGAAAGCGUGGGGAGCAAACAGGAUUAGAUACCCUGGUAGUCCACGCCCUAAAACGAUGUCAACUAGUUGUUGGGGAUUCAUUUCCUUAGUAACGUAGCUAACGCGUGAAGUUGACCGCCUGGGGAGUACGGUCGCAAGAUUAAAACUUAAAUGAAUUGACGGGGUCAUAGCU
rnacentral:rRNA from 1 species